CCCGCCAUAGCUCAAUCUGGCAGAGCGUCUGGCUGUAGACCAGAAUGUUGUGUGUUCAAACCCCAUAUGGGGGCU
rnacentral:tRNA from 2 species